AAAAUCGUGGGUCUCUUUCACCAGUGGGCACCAUCUGGUGGACAACAGAACCUCAGCUACAGGGGGCUACCCACACCCCGGAGGACACCAGCAAGAGGCUGAUCAUAAAAGGGCUCCACUGUUUGGGUUGAAUGCAGAUUGUGAGGGAAGUGCCAGGUUGAUGUGAAAGGAUCCUGCACAGGAAAGCAAGACAAACAUCACUGAAGGGGAGAGGCAACACAUGACGGAACAGGCUCUGAGUGUCAUAAAAUGGCCUCCUUGAUGAAAACCACACCAAGAGGACUGUAGCAUUCUCGCUGGAAUGUUGGGAGUGCAACGACUCAAAUCCGCCUCUAAUUGAAUCUGGCAGAAUCCAAUCCUGCAAUAUCUUUGAGUGGAGAUAACAGGACAAGACUCACUGGCGGACCCUGUGCAUCCUGGCAGCGGCCAAUUCACUCCCAGAGCAAA